rnacentral:rRNA from 1 species
UACGUAGGCAGCGAGCGUUGUUCGGAGUUACUGGGCGUAAAGAGUGCGUAGGCGGUUUUUCUAAGUUUGGUGUGAAAUCUCCCGGCUUAACUGGGAGGGUGCGCCGAAGACUGGAAGGCUUGAGUAUGGGAGAGGUAAGCGGAAUCCUGGUGUAGCGGUGAAAUGCGCAGAUAUCAGGAGGAACACCGGUGGCGAAGGCGGGACUCUGGGCCGAUACUGACGCUGAGGAGCGAAAAGCGUGGGGGAGCAAACAGG